GUCCAACAGUGUCAGUUUCUGGUGAGGGCUGUCUUCCUCGUUUCCAGAUGACUGCCUUCUCCCCUUCUUGCUGUGUCCUCACAAGGUUAAGCUGGACCAGAACAAUCCAGAGACCAAUGAGGAUGUGAAUGGCCAGCCAGAGAGCUGAUACCUGUUAAGGCUUUGUCACCCUGUGGCCUCAGCCGUGUUGCUUCUCCUCUCUUGGUGUCAGCUGUUUAUUUGCAAAGCCGGGGCUGGACUCGAUGAACAGCGCUCAGUCAAAGGCCUUUUGUAGUUGAAAUAUUCCAGAGGAUGCUGUCACUUGGAAAUACAUUCUCUCAGGCAUCCUAGGACUAUCAAUCACUGGACCUGCCCACCCACUGUGCCCACUCUGACUUCUAAGGGAUGACACUACUCCACAUUCAGCCUCUGCUGCCCAGGCCUCCGUGUUCUUGCUCCAGGCUGGCUUUACAGUCCCAAAGGUCAUCUCAGAGCAGCAGCAGCAGCAGCAGCA